rnacentral:misc_RNA from 1 species
GUCUAAUUCUUGGAUUAGGAAAUAGAGAUGUGCAUGCUGAGCUAAUUCCGGGAAAAAGGUGAAAAAUUCUAAUAGCCAAAUGAGCCCGUCAAUUAUAUUCUAAAAGAAGACGAAAGUGAAAAGAGGAUGAGAAAGGGAUUGUUUGCUCUCUAGCCAAUGUUCGGAUUCGAGCUGCUUAUACAAUCCUAAAAGAUGUUCUCACCUUUGAUUUGGGGGUGAACCCA